AGCGCAGGCGGUUUCUUAAGUCUGAUGUGAAAGCCCGGAGCUCAACUCCGGAAUGGCAUUGGAAACUGGUUAACUUGAGUGCAGUAGAGGUAAGUGGAACUCCAUGUGUAGCGGUGGAAUGCGCAGAUAUCAGGAGGAACACCGAUGGCGAAGGCAGGUCUCUGGGCAGUAACUGACGCUGAGGAGCGAAAGCAUGGGGAGCGAACA
rnacentral:rRNA from 1 species